CUAAUUGGAGUGUUUGGGAUAGUGAUUUAACACCCAUGGGGCAUGUAGAGCUUAGUAGCCCCUGUGGCAAGAAAAUCUUGCCCAGCUGAAAUAAUUUGAUCAAGGUGGGGCAAAUCUGUAGGCAAAUAUCUGCUAGCACAUGCCUUCGAAAAUAGACGCAGUUCCUGUUUGGACCAACACUUCACCCCCACUGCCCUUAUUGGUCCCCAAAAAUCUCUCAACAAGGCAAGGAAAAGCACCAGGAAGCCCAUCUGUCUACAACAGAAUGUGUCUUGAUAAAACUUUCUGGCCUUGCUGGGCUCCAGUCAUGUACUGAGACAUGGUUAAAUGGGCAUUCUAAUGGGGGCUAUUGAAAUGCAUUUAGCACAUGUGUGUGAAUGAGGUGAGCUGGCCCUCCCCUAAACUGACUGCCCAUCCCCAUUGUCCCAGCAGCCAACAGAUCCACUCUGGGGUGAAAAUUGCUUCACGCUCCAUUCAGCAGCAGCAACAGAUCUGCUCAGCUUGACCUGGCAUACACUCAGCUACAAUAAGCUUUGGCAACGGUUCUGAAUACCUCUAUGUUUGCGUCUCCAUGCUUCUGUUACAGUGGGUGUUUGCUGUACUGAGAAAAGCUGGGCUACCUCUGCAUACAAGCUCAGCCAUCCAUGUGGUAUAUGGUAUUUGUAGCCGGGUAUAUGGUAUUUGUAGCCGGGUAUAGGUAGCAUAAGGGAUAACACCAUUCCAUGGCCUGCUUAUGCAGCAAGCUGUCAUGCUGCUUUCACUGCCUGACAGAGAUGGUGAGGGGAGAAUUUCAUCCACAAGUGGAAAUAAUCCCAGAAGCCCAUCUCUGGAGACAUCUCUCCUUUCAUCUCCCAACUGAUUGACCCCUGAUCUUGCCAAAUUAAUAGCAGUUCCCACCACAUCUAACAAGACCCCAUUUGCCUUUGGCGCCUGCCUGAAGACUGCAGGACACCACAACAGGGGAAAUGGGACCUCUUGCUGAUUCUGCCAAUCAGGCCCGUCCACACCACCAACAGUUUGUGGCUAAUGGUCCUUCCUGUGUUUGUCUCUUGAUAAGGCAAAUCAGCCGUCAGCAGGGGAUGCUGGAGAAGAUUGGAGAUAUUAAAAUUUACCAGUGCACAAGCACAAAUUAGAGGGAUGGAAAUUUUGGCUAAAUCUUGUACAGAGCCCCCUACCAGUUUGGUUGAAAACUGCAAGACCUUGCACAUGCAGUCAUACAGUUUUAAAAAGCAUAUCACAUGUACAUGAUGUACAUGUUUAUAAAAUUGACACUUUUGCUCAUGUGCCCACUUUUUCUAGUUCUUUCUAUUCAAUUUUCAAAAUCCAAAGAUUCUUUGUUGUUUGCAGUUUCAUUCCCAUAGUGGUACGUCAAAAUCUUCUAUGCAUAUCUUUAUAUCUUCUUUAACAAGCAGAUAUCCCUGAGGAGUCAGAGUAUUUUGACAGUAAUUUAAACAUCAUUACAGGUCCAGGGCUUCCUUCCUUUGAAGCCCAUUACCAAUGUGCUAACUGUGUCCCGUUUCAGGCUCCCCAUUU